UACGAAGGGGGCUAGCGUUGCUCGGAAUUACUGGGCGUAAAGGGCGCGUAGGCGGAUAUUUAAGUCGGGGGUGAAAGCCCAGGGCUCAACCCUGGAAUUGCCUUCGAUACUGGAUAUCUUGAGUUCGGGAGAGGUGAGUGGAAUGCCGAGUGUAGAGGUGAAAUUCGUAGAUAUUCGGCGGAACACCAGUGGCGAAGGCGACUCACUGGCCCGAUACUGACGCUGAGGUGCGAAAGCGUGGGGAGCAAACAGGG
rnacentral:rRNA from 1 species